UAACCGUAGGUGAACCUGCGGUUGGAUCAUUACUGUAAAAAAUGAGGGAAGGUUUGGAGAGUGGUAGGGUGAGCGGUUUCGCUUUCCUUGUUCUCUCCAGCCUUUUCUAAAUACCAACCUUUUUGUGCACACCACUCUGCCGCAAGGCAGAAAAACCUAAGAGUUUUCUAUUAUUUGUCUGAACUGUAUGCUUUGUAUGUAUAUAAUGCAAUAAAACAACUUUUGGCAACGGAUCUCUUGGCUCUCGCAUCGAUGAAGAACGCAGC
rnacentral:misc_RNA from 1 species